UUUAUUUUGCUCUCCUCUCUCUCUCCUUAAUCGUUUCUCUGUCUCUCCUCUCUCGUCUCUUCGAUAUCGAUAUAUCAGAAUGGAAAAGCUUGAGAGAAGAUGUAUAACACUGGGCAAAGCGUCUUUCACCGGCGAUAUCAUCAUCUCGAUCGACUGCGGCACUAUCGACGGUGGCGGUUCAUCAAUUGGAGAGGGUUUUUGCUUCACCAAAUCGGAGAUUGAAGUGGUCAAUUCUCGAAUUGUUUGGUUUAAUCGUUUCUCUAGUUUGUAUUUCAUAGUCAUUACGAUGGCGCCAUCAACAACCAACCAACCGUCAAACUUAUCCAAAGAAAUGAUCAGAUCAAUCCAAGACAAUUAACCAUGAGUUGUCAUUGUAAUAAUCUAUAUGUUUUGGCACUUGAAUUUCAAUAUAACUGGCCUCUCUUCUAUUUCUCAAA